rnacentral:rRNA from 1 species
GUGGGGAAUCUUGCGCAAUGGGCGAAAGCCUGACGCAGCCAUGCCGAGUGAAUGAUGAAGGUCUUAGGAUUGUAAAAUUCUUUCACCGGGGACGAUAAUGACGGUACCCGGAGAAGAAGCUCCGGCUAACUUCGUGCCAGCAGCCGCGGUAAUACGAAGGGGGCUAGCGUUGCUCGGAAUUACUGGGCGUAAAGGGCGCGUAGGCGGACAGCUUAGUCAGAGGUGAAAGCCCAGGGCUCAACCUUGGAAUUGCCUUUGAUACUGGCUGUCUUGAGUUUGGGAGAGGUGAGUGGAACUCCGAGUGUAGAGGUGAAAUUCGUAGAUAUUCGGAAGAACACCAGUGGCGAAGGCGACUCACGGCCCAAUACUGACGCUGAGGCGCGAAAGCGUGGGGAGCAAACAGGAUUAGAUACCCCUGUAGUCC